AAUGAUCAAGAGUGAACCCAACACAGAUGAUUAUGAAUUAUGACACUCGUCCUGUUGAUCAAACACAUCAGACAUGUUCCUCUCAUCACUGUCAGUCAUUCUCUGUGUGAUUUAUCAAUACUGAAAGUUCAAUCAGAAACAAACUCAAACAUAUUCAUUUCAUUCACGCUCUCAUUUAUAUUAAAUUUGUGCGACAACGGGUCUUCGCAGGCCCGUCGUCAGGCGAAAGGGUUCACCCAACCCAAAACAAAAUGAUGGCAAUACUCGCAGAGAUGUUAAGUGAAAAAAAAGAUGACGAUUUAUUUACAGUGCUCGAGAGGUGAAACAAUCCCAGUAGAAAAAUGACCAAAGCUAUAUACAAAGUAACAAAGAAAACACUGUACAAAAGAACAAAACAAACGGAUAAAUAUGUGUAUAUAUACACACGCAAACUUUGAAAAUUGCUCACGGCACCACAGUUGCACGCUCGCUCGCCAGGUAAACUGACCACCUACCCUGGUUUGGGGCUCCCUUUUAUAACUCAAGCCCCGCCCCCUCGGAUUAAACCAGGUCGAGGUAAGUAUAAAAAGGUAAGUAUGUACAUAUUUACAAUAACACACAAAUAUACAUAACUAUAACAUCCACUCCAUGUUUUCAGAUGUUAAACAAAAGAAUAUAUACAAAAAUAACAAAAAUAAACAGAUUGCAACAACAACUCAACAUUUCCUACUUCCCCUUUAAGACAAACAAUGGACGAGUCGGCUUCCGGUUGCUUCACACCAGCGCCACAAACUCUGGCACUAUGUAGCCAGGCCACUGGGUGGCGCUCAGGUUAGCCGGCCGAUAGAAGGACCGACUACACAGACACAAACAAACACUGAACACAGCGUGGAUCACUGUCGGGGAUGGAGAUGGAGUGGAUAUGUUUGCGUGUAUGUGAAACCAGUAUGCUAAUGGCGUGCGUGUGCACCCACAUCGCCUCAGCAGGGAAUUACAGAGGAGGAGUGAGGAACGACUCACACAAGUUUCUUAAUGCGAGAUUAAAUGGAGGUUCAUCUCUUGAGGAUCUUCUCCUGCAGACGGGACACUCCUGAGAUUUCGAGGUUCUCCAGGACUGUUGAAGACACUCUUUACAGAAAC